AUUGAACGCUGGCGGCAGGCCUAACACACGCAAGUCGAGCGGCAGCGGGAAAGUAGCUUGCUACUUUUGCCGGCGAGCGGCGGACGGGUGAGUAAUGCCUGGGAAAUUGCCCAGUCGAGGGGGAUAACAGUUGGAAACGACUGCUAAUACCGCAUACGCCCUACGGGGGAAAGCAGGGGACCUUCGGGCCUUGCGCGAUUGGAUAUGCCCAGGUGGGAUUAGCUAGUUGGUGAGGUAAUGGCUCACCAAGGCGACGAUCCCUAGCUGGUCUGAGAGGAAGAUCAGCCACACUGGAACUGAGACACGGUCCAGACACCUACGGGAGGCAGCAGUGGGGAAUAUUGCACAAUGGGGGAAACCCUGAUGCAGCCAUGCCGCGUGUGUGAAGAAGGCCUUCGGGUUGUAAAGCACUUUCAGCGAGGAGGAAAGGUUGAUGCCUAAUACGUAUCAACUGUGACGUUACUCGCAGAAGAAGCACCGGCUAACUCCGUGCCAGCAGCCGCGGUAA
rnacentral:rRNA from 1 species